GAUGAACGCUGGCGGCGUGCUUAACACAUGCAAGUCGAGCGAAGCACUUUUGCGGAUUUCUUCGGAUUGAAGCAACUGUGACUGAGCGGCGGACGGGUGAGUAACGCGUGGGUAACCUGCCUCAUACAGGGGGAUAACAGUUGGAAACGGCUGCUAAUACCGCAUAAGCGCACAGUACCGCAUGGUACGGUGUGAAAAACUCCGGUGGUAUGAGAUGGACCCGCGUCUGAUUAGGUAGUUGGUGGGGUAACGGCCUACCAAGCCGACGAUCAGUAGCCGACCUGAGAGGGUGACCGGCCACAUUGGGACUGAGACACGGCCCAAACUCCUACGGGAGGCAGCAGUGGGGAAUAUUGCACAAUGGGGGAAACCCUGAUGCAGCGACGCCGCGUGAGCGAUGAAGUAUUUCGGUAUGUAAAGCUCUAUCAGCAGGGAAGAAAAUGACGGUACCUGACUAAGAAGCCCCGGCUAACUACGUGCCAGCAGCCGCGGUAAUACGUAGGGGGCAAGCGUUAUCCGGAUUUACUGGGUGUAAAGGGAGCGUAGACGGCAUGGCAAGCCAGAUGUGAAAGCCCGGGGCUCAACCCCGGGACUGCAUUUGGAACUGUCAGGCUAGAGUGUCGGAGAGGAAAGCGGAAUUCCUAGUGUAGCGGUGAAAUGCGUAGAUAUUAGGAGGAACACCAGUGGCGAAGGCGGCU
rnacentral:rRNA from 1 species